rnacentral:tRNA from 1 species
GGUGUUAUAGUUUAAAGGUAAAAUAAUUAUCUCAUACGUAAAAGAUAGGGGUUCAAUUCCCCUUAUGCACCC